rnacentral:rRNA from 1 species
GACGAACGCUGGCGGUGUGCUUAACACAUGCAAGUCGAACGGUAAGGCCCUUUCGGGGGUACACGAGUGGCGAACGGGUGAGUAACACGUGAGUAACCUGCCCUCAUCUCUGGGAUAACAGUCGGAAACGGUUGCUAAUACUGGAUAUGAGCUUGCAAGGCAUCUUGUGGGUUGGAAAGAUUUUUUUUGGUUGGGGAUGGACUCGCGGCCUAUCAGCUUGUUGGUGAGGUAGUGGCUCACCAAGGCUUCGACGGGUAGCCGGCCUGAGAGGGCGACCGGCCACAUUGGGACUGAGAUACGGCCCAAACUCCUACGGGAGGCAGCAGUGGGGAAUAUUGCACAAUGGACGGAAGUCUGAUGCAGCAACGCCGCGUGCGGGGUGACGGCCUUCGGGUUGUAAACCGCUUUCAAUUGUGACGAAGCUUUUUUGUGACGGUAGCAGUAGAAGAAGCACCGGCUAACUACGUG